GGAAGAUGGCUUUUCCGCAGACCGUCCCUCUGCUGGGCACUUGAAGAGUAGCAUGCUUUGGGGAGCCCGAAUGGAAAGUUUCAGGGACUACUGAGAAGUAGGUAGCCUUUGCUUUCUUUCCUGGUCACAGCCCUCUUUAGAGGAGAGGUGAUCCUUGGAAAAGUGGAUUUGUUUAUUCAGGUAUGUGUGCUUAUAUGUGUUAGCGUAUAUAUGUCUGUAUGUCUUGGCAUGUAUAUGAAUAUUAUGCAUUGGUGAAGCAUUAUAAUGGAAUAUUUG
rnacentral:lncRNA from 1 species